rnacentral:rRNA from 1 species
UACAGAGGUCUCAAGCGUUGUUCGGAUUCAUUGGGCGUAAAGGGUGUGUAGGUGGCGCCGUAAGUCGGGUGUGAAAUCUCGGGCUUAACUCCGAAACUGCAUUCGAUACUGCGGUGCUUGAGGACUGGGGAGGAGACUGGAAUUCAUGGUGUAGCAGUGAAAAUGCGUAGAGAUCAUGAGGAAGACCAGUGGCGAAGGCGGGUCUCUGGACAGUUCCUGACACUGAGACACGAAGGCCAGGGGAGCAAACGGG